CUGAUUUCUAGAGCUUUAUCUCUCUCUCUCUUAGAUUCAUACAGCAGCCAUUAAAUACCAUUAGGGUUCUUGAAUAAUAGGCAUUUCAAGCUAUUGGAAGGUAUAAUUCAAGACAAGUUAAGGAGUACAACCUUUACCUUGAAGAAUUCAAGUCUUAGCAAGUGGUAGUUAUGUCCAGCAAGGGGGAAAAGCCUAGCAUGGGCCUAUCGAGAUUGGUAUGGAAAGGUGGCAGCUCAGGGGCGAAACCCUAGCAUGGGCCGAUCCCGAUUGGUAUGGAAGGGCGGCAGCUCAGGGGCAAAAGCCUAGCAUGGGCCGAUCCCAAUUCGUAGAAUUACGAGGACAACAUCCCAGGGGUUAAAAUGCCUAGCAUGGGUCAUCCUCUUCUACUGUUGAUCAACUGGUCAUUUGUAUCAUAUGUUAUAAAGUACAGAGUAGUAGAGAAAACAAUGUAACAUGCACGAUUCCACAAGUACAAAGCAAAGGUACAAGUACUCAACUAAUAGAUUUUUCCAGUAGAAGCAUAUUAUACUCAGCGGAUGUUGGUGAGUUCCAGGUUGAUUCGGGCCUUUGUCGAGUCUUUACUACGUUAUUUUAUAGUGGUACCAUCAUGGAUUCCAGUGGAGGCUUUGUAGACAUUGUAAAGUUAUCAUCUGUAUUUAUGGUUUCACUUGUCACAUAUAGCGGUUCAGCUAGUCGAAAUGUGUUGUAUGUGAAGCUUCAUCAGUAAUCUGCAUAGUAGUUUACUUUCUCAUCAUAGAUUACUUGUAAAGCAUGUGUUCAUAAGGUACUUGUCCCCCUCACCUAUGGUUGGGGGCUGACAAAAACA